rnacentral:rRNA from 1 species
GGCGAACGCUGGCGGCGUGCUUAACACAUGCAAGUCGAACGAGACGAUUGAAAGCUUGCUUUUAAAAGUCGAGUGGCAAACGGGUGAGUAACGCGUAGACAACCUGCCCUUGAGAUGGGGACAACAGUUCGAAAGGACUGCUAAUACCGAAUGUUGUAUAUUUUCCACAUGGAAGAUAUAUUAAAGAUGGCCUCUAUUUAUACGCUAUCGCUCAAAGAUGGGUCUGCGUCUGAUUAGCUAGUUGGUGGGGUAACGGCCUACCAAGGCGACGAUCAGUAGCCGGUCUGAGAGGAUGAACGGCCACAUUGGGACUGAGACACGGCCCAGACUCCUACGGGAGGCAGCAGUGGGGAAUCUUCCACAAUGGACGAAAGUCUGAUGGAGCAACGCCGCGUGAGUGAAGAAGGGUUACGGCUCGUAAAGCUCUGUUGUCGGGGACGAAUGGGCAGUAUUUGAAUAAAGUACUGCAAUGACGGUACCUGACGAGGAAGCCACGGCUAACUACGUGCCAGCCGCCGCAGUAA